GAUAUUGCUUUUUUUUGCAAGGCGUGCUAUAUAAAAACUUGUCGGGUAACCGACUGUGACACCAGAGGCGCUGUGAAAUAGGCAUGUUGGACCCGAGGGCAGUACUCGGCACCUCCACCAAUAUUUUUAAGGGGGUGAAACAGGUUAGACAGUGUGCAGUAAAGAUGGUAUGCUGUGUUCGGUGAGAUACCACCGUUAUCGGUUCAAAUUAAAUAAACGCAAAUGAUAAUUUUGCACCUGUUGCUUUAGCUGCUUAAUUUAGGCACAUGCAACAAAAUAAAAUUCUUUGAAAUUUGGUUUUUUCAAAGUGAGGUUUGGGCCACCCAGCAACAGAACGGCCUUUUU
rnacentral:tmRNA from 1 species